rnacentral:misc_RNA from 1 species
UGAGAUGAUUUAUGAAGCUCUUGAUGAACUAAAUCAAGAAGGGGGUGCAAACAAGUCAUCAAUAAGCAAGUACAUUGAAACAAAGUAUGGAGAUCUGAAUGAAGAUCUUUCAAAGAUGCUACCUUUACAUUUGGACAACAUGAAGCAAAAUGGAGAUCUGAUUUUCCUCAAGAACAAUUACAUCAAACCUGGUCCAGAUGUUCCAGCAAAGAGGGGUCGUGGUAGGCCACCAAAACCCAAAGCUCCAUUGCCUCCUGGUGCUGUUGAAUCUGUUGAACCUGCAUCACCAAGGCCAA